rnacentral:rRNA from 1 species
CCUACGGGAGGCAGCAGUGGGGAAUAUUGGACUAAUGGGCGCAAGCCUGAUCCAGCCAUGCCGCGUGAGUGAUGAAGGCCCUAGGGUUGUAAAGCUCUUUCAACGGUGAAGAUAAUGACGGUAACCGUAGAAGAAGCCCCGGCUAACUUCGUGCCAGCAGCCGCGGUAAU